UACGGAGGGAGCUAGCGUUGUUCGGAAUUACUGGGCGUAAAGCGCGCGUAGGCGGCUUUGUAAGUUAGAGGUGAAAGCCCGGAGCUCAACUCCGGAACUGCCUUUAAAACUGCAUCGCUUGAAUCCAGGAGAGGGUAGUGGAAUUCCCGGUGUAGUGGUGAAAUGCGUAGAGAUCGGGAGGAACACCUGUGGCGAAGGCGGCCGACUGGGCCGACCCUGACGCUGAGGCGCGAAGGCGUGGGGAGCGAACGGG
rnacentral:rRNA from 1 species